rnacentral:rRNA from 1 species
GACCAAGGAGUCUAACAUGUGCGCGAGUCGUCGGGUCUUGAAUAGGCCCGCAGGCGAAAUGAAAGUGAAGGGCGACCUCGUUGUCGUCUGCGUUGGGAUCCUCACUCAGAUCACUGUGUCUGGGGCGCACCAACGGCCCGUCCCGUCCGCAGCGUCGGUGGGACGGAGCGAGAGCGUACACGUUGGGACCCGAAAGAUGGUGAACUAUGCCUGGGCAGGACGAGGCCAGAGGAAACUCUGGUGGAGGUCCGCAGCGAUUCUGACGUGCAAAUCGAUCGUCAGACCUGGGUAUAGGGGCGAAAGACUAAUCGAACCGUCUAGUAGCUGGUUCCCUCCGAAGUUUCCCUCAGGAUAGCUGGCGCUCGAGGGAGUCAGUCUCAUCCGGUAAAGCGAAUGAUUAGAGGCCUUGGGGCCGAAACGACCUCAACCUAUUCUCAAACUUUCAAUGGGUGAGAAGUCCGGUUUACAUGACUGAAGCCCGGACAAUUCUCAGGAUGCGAGUGCCCAGUGGGCCACUUUU